rfam:Oryza brachyantha chromosome 2, whole genome shotgun sequence.
AAUGCAAUGAUGAUUCUUAGGAUAAUUGGCAGUGGCGACGUCAGUCGCCGUGAGCUUUCAUCCAAAAAACGACUUCUCUUUCCACUGAGCAUU